rnacentral:rRNA from 1 species
UACGUAGGGGGCGAGCGUUGUCCGGAAUCACUGGGCGUAAAGGGCGCGCAGGCGGUUUGAAUAGUCAGAUGUGAAAGCCCACGGCUUAACCGUGGAAGUGCAUUUGAAACUGUCAGACUUGAGUACCAGAGGGGAAAGUGGAAUUCCCGGUGUAGAGGUGAAAUUCGUAGAUAUCGGGAGGAAUACCGGUGGCGAAGGCGACUUUCUGGCUGGUUACUGACGCUGAGGCGCGAAAGCGUGGGGGGCAAACAGGAUUAGAUACCCUGGUAGUCCACGCUGUAAACGAUGUGCACUAGAUGUAGGGGGUGCUGAUCCCCUCUGUGUCGCAGCUAACGCAUUAAGUGCACCGCCUGGGGAGUACGGUCGCAAGAUUAAA